rnacentral:rRNA from 1 species
AUUGAACGCUGGCGGCAGGCCUAACACAUGCAAGUCGAACGAGUGGCGGACGGGUGAGUAAUGUCUGGGAAACUGCCUGAUGGAGGGGGAUAACUACUGGAAACGGUAGCUAAUACCGCAUACCAUCAGAUGUGCCCAAAUGGGAUUAGCUAGUUGGGGGGGUAAAGGCUCCCCAAGGCGACGAUCCCUAGCUGGUCUGAGAGGAUGACCAGCCACACUGGAACUGAGACAAGGGCCAGAAUCCUACGGGAGGCAGCAGUGGGGAAUAUUGGGCAAUGGGCGCAAGCCUGAUGCAGCCAUGCCGCGUGUAUGAAGAAGGCCUUCGGGGUGUAAAGUUCUUUCAGCAGGGAGGCGUUACCUGCAGAAGAAGCACCGGCUAACUCCGUGCCAGCAGCCGCGGUAAUAC